rnacentral:misc_RNA from 1 species
GAUGAAGAACGUAGCGAAAUGCGAUAAGUAAUGUGAAUUGCAGAAUUCAGUGAAUCAUCGAAUCUUUGAACGCAUCUUGCGCUCCUUGGUAUUCUGAGGAGCAUGCCUGUUUGAGUGUCAUUAAAUUCUCAACUACACUGACUUUGAAUUGGUGUGGCUUGGAUUUGGGGGGAAAAUUGUUGUGGGCUUUUUGUAUAGUCUGCUCCCCUGAAAUUGAUUAGCGGUACCUUUGUGGAACUGUCUACAGGUGUGAUAAUUAUCUACAUCUUAGACAUCUGCUGGAAUGCUGCUUUCUAAACCUUACUUGUAUUGACAAUCUUGACCUCAAAUCAGGUAGGACUACCCGCUGAACUUAAGCAUAUCAAAGCGGAGGA